UUGUUUCUUAAAUUCCACAUAUGAGUGACAUCAUACGCUACUUGUUUUCUCAGAGUUAUUUUGUUUAGUUAGCAUUAUAGUCUCUAGAUCAUCCAUGGUGUUGCAAAAGACAAGAUUUCUUUCCUUUUCAUGGCUGAAUAAUAUUGCAUAUUACACACACACACACACACACCACAUUUUCUUUAUCCAUUCAUCUAUGGAUGGACAACUUGGCCUGCUUCCAUAGUCUGGCUGUUGUAAAUAGUGUUGCAAUAAACAUCAGGGUGCCUGGA